AACCGACUGAGCCACCCAGGCGCCCCAAGAAAAAUAUUUUUUAAAUAGCUGCAGGAAAAAAUAUAUUAACUACAAGGGAACAAUAGUACCAGUGGCAGCUGACUUUGCAUCACAAACAGUGGAACAGAGGUGACAAUGGAACAAAAUCUUAAAUGCUGAAAAAAGAAACAACAGAAAACCCCUGUCAACUCAGAAUUCUGUAUCUAGCUAAUAUAUCCUUCAAAAUUCAGGGUGAAAUAGAAACAUUUUAUUCAUCACAACUAGCCCUGCAUCACAGGAAAUGCUAAAGGAAGUUCUGCAUGUUGAAGUGUUGUAAUACUAAAUGGAAAUUCAAAUCUGAGGAAGAAAUUAGGUACAUUGGAAAUUGUAAAUAUUUGGGUGGAUGUAAAAAACUAUCCUUUUUCUUUUAAUUUUUUUUACAAAUUCAACUAACCACAUAAUGGGGAGAAAGACACAUUGUACUGUGGGAUUUAUUAUAUACAUAUAGUAGUAAAUGUUAUGUAUGUGAAUGUAAAACACAUGAAAAUAAUGGCACAUGAGUGGAGUUCAAUGUAAAUUGACUAUCGUGAGGUCACACACCAAAAUGAGAAUAGCCACACACCAAAAAAAGAGAUAUAAAACCAAUAGAAAAUUAAAUGGAAUUUUAGGGUUUUUUAUUCAGUCAAAAGUAGAUAAGAAAGGAGAAAUAGAACAAGAAAAAAAUAGAUGGGAGGGCAAAUAGAAAAUGAAGAGCAAGAUGGUAGACUUAAAUCCAACCAUAGCAAUAAUUACAUUAAAUGCCAAUGGGCUAGCCAUUUUAAUUAAAUGGCAGAAAUUGUCAGACUGGAUAAAAGUACAAGACCCAUGUAUAUGCUAUCUGCAAGAGAUGUACCUUAAGUAUAAAGUCACAAAUAGGUUGAAAAUAAGAGGAUGAAAUAGAUGCAUUCUAUAAACAAUAAACAUAGGAAAGUAACUGGCUAUAUUCAUACUAGACAAAGUAGAAUGUAAAAGGGGAGAAUUACCAGAGAUGAAGGGGACAUUUUACAAGGUGUGAGCAUCUUUUCAUCAGGAAGAGAUAAUACUCCUAAAUGUGUACUGACCUAAUAAUAGAUCUUCAAAAUUUAUAAAGCAAAAACUGACAGAUGAAAGAGAAAUAGACAAAUCCAUAAUCAUACUUGAAGAUUUUAACAACUUUCUUUCAGUAAUGGUAAAGCAGCCAGAUGAAAAAUCUAAAGAUACAGAUAGUAAAGGCAUAGUAAAGAUAGAAUGAUCUGAACGAUACUGCCAGUCACCUUGACUAAAAUGACAUUUAUACAACACUAUAAUCAACAAUGGCACAGGGAACAAGUAUACAUUAAACAUUCACUAAAAUGUACUGGGGCAUAAAAUCUCAAUAAAUGUCAAAAGAUUCAGAUCUUAGGGAAUAUAUUUUCCAAAAAAUGGUAAACAUGUGAGAUGAUGGUUGUGUUCUUUAUUGUGGUCAUGAUUUUACAACACAUACACGUAUCAAAUCAUCAUGUUGUAUACAUUAAACUUAUGUAAUGUUGUUAUGUUGAAUAUAUUGCAAUAAAGCUGGAGAAAAGAAUUUGUUCUCUGACCACUAUGUAAGUAAAUUACAAAUAAAUUUUAAAUAGACAUCUGGAAGAAUAUCUCUGAAACUUAGAUUUUAAGCAUGGCACUUCUAAAUAACCCAUGGGUCAAAGAAGAAAUCACAAGGUAUAUUAGAAAAUAUUUUUAACUGAAUGAUGAUGAGAACAAUAUAUUCACAUUUGUAGAUGCAGCUAACGUGGGUGAUUCCAGGGAAAUUUAUAGCAUAAAUAUUUUCUAUUAUAAAGAAUUUUUAAGAACCAACAAAUAAAUUUCCACCUUAGGAAGCUAGAUAAAGAAGAGCAAAGUAUACCCAAAGAAUGUAGAAGAAAAUAAAUAAUAAAGAGCAGAAAUCAAUGAAAUAGAAAAUAGACAAUUAGAAAAAAUUAACAAAGCCAAAAUUGAUUAUCUGAAAGGAUUAAUAAAAGUUAUAGACCACUAGUAAGAUUGACCAAGAAAGAAUAGAGAAAAUAUAAAUUACCAGUACCAGCAAUGAAAGAAGCAAUAUUGGGUUCCCUGGGUGGCUCAGUCAGUUAAACAUCCAACUUCGGCUUGGGUCAUGAUCUCACGGUUCAUGGGUUUGAGCGCCACAUCAGGCUCUGCACUGAAUGGCUCAGAGCCUGGAGCCUGCUUUGGAUUCUGUCCCUCCCACUCUGUCUGCCCCUCCCCCACUUGUGGUCUGUCUCUCUCUCUCUCUCUC